rnacentral:rRNA from 1 species
ACAGAUUCCUUCGGGAUGAAGAUGCUUGAGACUUAGUGGCGGACGGGUGAGUAACGCGUGGGUAACCUGCCCUGUACUGGGGGACAACAGUUAGAAAUGACUGCUAAUACCGCAUAAGCCUACGGAGUCGCAUGACUCAGCAGGAAAAAUUCCGGUGGUACAGGAUGGGCCCGCGUCUGAUUAGCUAGUUGGUGAGGUAAUGGCUCACCAAGGCGACGAUCAGUAGCCGGCUUGAGAGAGUGAACGGCCACAUUGGGACUGAGACACGGCCCAAACUCCUACGGGAGGCAGCAGUGGGGAAUAUUGCACAAUGGGGGAAACCCUGAUGCAGCGACGCCGCGUGAGCGAAGAAGUAUUUCGGUAUGUAAAGCUCUAUCAGCAGGGAAGAAGAAAUGACGGUACCUGACUAAGAAGCACCGGCUAAAUACGUGCCAGCAGCCGCGGUAAUACGUAUGGUGCAAGCGUUAUCCGGAUUUACUGGGUGUAAAGGGAGCGCAGGCGGAAGGCUAAGUCUGAUGUGAAAGCCCGGGGCUCAACCCCGGUACUGCAUUGGAAACUGGUCAUCUAGAGUGUCGGAGGGGUAAGUGGAAUUCCUAGUGUAGCGGUGAAAUGCGUAGAUAUUAGGAGGAACACCAGUGGCGAAGGCGGCUUACUGGACGAUAACUGACGCUGAGGCUCGAAAGCGUGGGGAGCAAAC